GACGAAGGAUGCAAGCGUUAUCCGGAUUCAUUGGGUUUAAAGGGAGCGUAGGCGGAUUGGUAAGUCAGUGGUGAAAUCUCUUCGCUUAACGAAGAAACUGCCAUUGAUACUGCUGAUCUAGAGUACAGUUGCCGUUGGCGGAAUAUGACAUGUAGUGGUGAAAUACUUAGAUAUGUCAUAGAACACCGAUUGCGAAGGCAGCUAACGAAGCUGUAACUGACGCUGAGGCUCGAAAGUGCGGGGAUCAAACAGG
rnacentral:rRNA from 1 species